rnacentral:rRNA from 1 species
GCGGUGGAGCAUGUGGUUUAAUUCGAAGCAACGCGCAGAACCUUACCAGCGUUUGACAUGUCCGGACGAUUUCCAGAGAUGGAUCUCUUCCCUUCGGGGACUGGAACACAGGUGCUGCAUGGCUGUCGUCAGCUCGUGUCGUGAGAUGUUGGGUUAAGUCCCGCAACGAGCGCAACCCUCGCCUUUAGUUGCCAUCAUUCAGUUGGGCACUUUAAAGGAACCGCCGGUGAUAAGCCGGAGGAAGGUGGGGAUGACGUCAAGUCCUCAUGGCCCUUACGCGCUGGGCUACACACGUGCUACAAUGGCGGUGACAGUGGGCAGCAAUCCCGCAAGGGUGAGCUAAUCUCCAAAAGCCGUCUCAGUUCGGAUUGUUCUCUGCAACUCGAGAGCAUGAAGGCGGAAUCGCUAGUAAUCGCGGAUCAGCAUGCCGCGGUGAAUACGUUCCCAGGCCUUGUACACACCGCCCGUCACACCAUGGGAGUUGGGUUCACCCGAAGGCGUUGCGCUAACUCAGCAAUGAGAGGCAGGCGACCACGGUGGGCUUAGCGACUGGGGUGAGGUCGUAACAAGGUAGCCGUAGGGGAACCUGCGGCUGGAUCACCUCCUU